rnacentral:rRNA from 1 species
CUACGGGGGGCUGCAGUGGGGAAUAUUGCACAAUGGGCGCAAGCCUGAUGCAGCCAUGCCGCGUGUAUGAAGAAGGCCUUCGGGUUGUAAAGUACUUUCAGCGGGGAGGAAGGGAGUAAAGUUAAUACCUUUGCCCAUUGACGUUACCCGCAGAAGAAGCACCGGCUAACUCCGUACCAGCAGCCGCGGUAAUACGGAGGGUGCAAGCGUUAAUCGGAAUUACUGGGCGUAAAGCGCACGCAGGCGGUUUGUUAAGUCAGAUGUGAAAUCCCCGGGCUCAACCUGGGAACUGCAUCUGAUACUGGCAAGCUUGAGUCUCGUAGAGGGGGGUAGAAUUCCAGGUGUAGCGGUGAAAUGCGUAGAGAUCUGGAGGAAUACCGGUGGCGAAGGCGGCCCCCUGGACGAAGACUGACGCUCAGGUGCGAAAGCGUGGGGAGCAAACAGGAUUAGAUACCCUUGUAGUC